rnacentral:rRNA from 1 species
ACGCUCGACACCUACGGAGGCAGCAGUGGGGAAUAUUGCACAAUGGGGGAAACCCUGAUGCAGCGACGCCGCGUGAAGGAAGAAGUAUCUCGGUAUGUAAACUUCUAUCAGCAGGGAAGAAAAUGACGGUACCUGACUAAGAAGCCCCGGCUAACUACGUGCCAACAGCCGCCGGUAAGUACUGAGGCGGGCGUGGCGAAGGACG